GGGGCUGACAGGUUUUCGAUAAGCAUAUCGAACCGAUACCAGCAUGCCGGAGGCCGACGGGACAACCGUUAUCAACCCGUCAACGGAAUAAACGCCAAGAACGUUUCUUCUCGUCUCGUCCUCGCCGCCUGAUUUCAGGCCGGGGAUGGUCCGAAACCGGUUCCGCUGUUCUAGGAACCGUUCGGAUAUAAAGGAAUAGAACCGGUGGGAUGCGAUCCGCCAACCAGAGCAUCCACACCGUAACCAGGUUGGCGACGGUCCUCCGCAGUGUCGCCGCGAGCGAAGCGGAACCGCAGGUAUAGUCGCGGAUAAGCAUGUAGAACGUACGGUGAGGAUAGGGCUUAGACUCGGGUUCGAUUCCCGACAGCUCCACCA
rnacentral:tmRNA from 1 species